UAAGACCUAGCGUUGAUGGAGCGGCCSAUAUCUGAUUAGCUAGUUGGUGSBYAAAGSCCUACCAAGGCGACGAUCAGUAGCUGGUCUGAGAGGACGACCAGCCACACUGGAACUGAGACACGGUCCAGACUCCUACGGGASGCAGCAGUGGSGAAUUUUGGACAAUGGGSGCAACCCUGAUCCAGCCAUUCCGCGUGAGUGAAGAAGGCCUUCGGGUUGUAAAGCUCUUUCGCAAGGGAAGAAMACUUAUUCUCUAACAUAGGAUAAGGCUGACGGUACCUUGAUAAGAAGCACCGGCUAACUACGUGCCAGCAGCCGCGGUAAUACGUAGGGUGCGAGCGUUAAUCGGAAUUACUGGGCGUAAAGCGUGCGCAGGCGGUUUUSAAASUCAGAUSUGAAAUCCCCGGGCUCAMCCUGGGAACY
rnacentral:rRNA from 1 species